rnacentral:ncRNA from 1 species
UGAUAAUGGCAAACUUAUUCGAAAGAUAAAGACGCAAAGCCACGGGCCUAAAUACGCAAUGUACAGGGCAGCCGGGUUACCAA